rnacentral:rRNA from 1 species
AGCAGUAGCCGCGGGAAUACCGAGGGUGCGAGCGUUAAUCGGAUUUACUGGGCGUAAAGCGUGCGUAGGCGGCUUCUUAAGUCGGAUGUGAAAUCCCUGAGCUUAACUUAGGAAUUGCAUUCGAUACUGGGAAGCUAGAGUAUGGGAGAGGAUGGUAGAAUUCCAGGUGUAGCGGUGAAAUGCGUAGAGAUCUGGAGGAAUACCGAUGGCGAAGGCAGCCAUCUGGCCUAAUACUGACGCUGAGGUACGAAAGCAUGGGGAGCAAACAGGAUUAGAUACCCCUGUAGUCCCUGUCUCUUAUAA